AUGAACUGCGAGCUCGAAACUUUCCCCCAAUCCGACGCCUGCGCAGACAAUAGAACCCGUCGCCUGUAUUCCGCCGCGUGCUUUUCCCUUUUUUCGUCCUCCCCGUCAGCCAUGGAAGGACAUUUGCGGGGAGGCGACGUCGCAGCCAUGCACGUGAAGACGGAAGACGUGGACGAGAACUCAUCUGCGCCGGUUGCGGGCAGCCGGGAGUCGCCUGCGUCCUGUGGAGAUGCCGCAUGCAGAGAAGGAGGGGUGGAACAGACUGCAGAGGAGCUGGCUGAGGCGGAGCUGCAGGCCGCCGCUACACCAACCCCCCUGCUGCUGUAUCCGACCAACGCGGACCGCUUCUUCACCACAUCUGCGGAUGGAAAAACAUACCUGAAGAUUUCCCCAACUGCAGUGAUGCCCUCUGCUACUUCUGAAAAGUUACUCUCCUCCGGCUCAGACUUUUCCUCCAAAGCUGUCCUUUGCCUCAUUGAGGCUGUCGGGCGCCGCUGGGGCCUCUACGAGACCCGGGAACGCUCGCAGCUCUUUCAGAGCGUCCAAGAAGAGAUGGCCUCUAAGGGACACAUCCUCCCCGUUGAAAAAAUCCGCCGCAAAUGGAACAACCUCAUCGUCACUUAUAAGAGGGUUAAAGACCGCAGCCGAGAGACGGGACACGCUAAGACGUCGUGGGAGUUCUUUGAUCUGAUGGAUGCCACCCUCUCUGACACUAUUGGCACACAGAUAAUCACUAACAAAAGACACAAAGGUGGGAACCACAUUUCCAGUCUGUCCUCUCCCAUAACGAAGCUCGCUUCGAAGCCCGUGCCGCUUCCUCAGCCGGGGGGCAUCAUCCACUCCAACAGUGACUUUGGUACAUCUGCUGCUGUGGAGUCUGUUGCUUUGGGACCCAUCGCCAGCCAGAUCAUGUCAAGCACCGCUGCUAGCUCGUCUAUGUGUGCAGCCACGGUUAGCCAGAUCAGUUCUCAAGACCUCAAGCCACUGAUUGUCCUCAAUGGCGACAUGGUUACCAGCAGUGUUCAGCCGGCGGCCAUCGUACCAGCUCCGCCGUUUAUCCCCCCGCCGUGUUUCACAGAAGCUACCUCUACGGCCCCGUCCCUCGGCUCAGCCAGCAGCGUGGAGCUCACCCCGUCUGGUUGUACAAGUCGCAAAUCCUCUACGUACACAUCCGGCGUCAUUCCUUUUCGCUUGAAUACGACGCCACUCGCCCACAGUCAGAGCAUGCUCGGGCUCCCGUCCCUCCCACUUACAUCCACGUCGUCCGUCCCCACCUCGUCGGCAUCGUCCAAUCCGGGAAGUGAAGGGAAGAGCCAGAAAGGGAACAAAGAUGCAAGCAAUAUCGCUUUGUUCCAAGAGGUCAUACAGCAACAGGAGGAGCAGGCUUACCUGGACCGGGUGGCCCGGCGCAGGAAUGAAGCCAGAGAGAAGAGGCGCGAGAGGCGGGAGGUCCGCAUGUCAGAGUCCCUGAGCAGAAUAGCCACGGCUUUGGAACUGCUUUCUUCAAAACAAGACACGGUCAUCGCUCUUCUCCAAAGGCUGGCUGACCGGAAGUAAAACUCCUCAGACUUUUGAUUCUUUUCUUGAAGACUGAAACUUUCUGAUGAAAACACACCUCAAGUUCUGCUUCUUUUAUUACAAGUUGUGCUUUGUUGAACUGAACAUUGAAUUAAAAAAUGAUCAAGUUAAAGUGUGAAUUAUUAAAG
ensembl:lncRNA